CCCUUGUACACACCGCCCGUCACACCAUAGGGAGGUUGGUUUACCUCGAAGACGGUGCGCUAACCGCGAAGGAGGCAGCCGGACCACGGGUAGGGUCAGCGACUGGGGUG
rnacentral:rRNA from 1 species